AAUGCUUUGUGAAGUCACCAGUGCCAAGCUGUCAAGGCCUGGACAGAACACUGCUGGGCCUGUUCCAGGCAGCCAGUAGCCAAGGUGCUAAUAGAACCCUAAACUUAGGUUUGAAAAGACCGUUUCUAUCAAGUCCCACAAAUGACCUAACACACCAUUAAAGCAUGAGAAGUGCCAUAUCCACACUUUUUUUCAACUUCCAGGGAUGGUGACCUCACCAAUUGCCAGGCCAGCCUUUAUCAGUACUUUAUAACCCUUUCCAGGAAGAAAUUUUUCCACAUAUGUAAACUUCCUCUGGUAGAACUUGGGGCCAUUUCCUUUGCCCUGUCCCCUGUUCCAUGGGAUUCUGAUGCCCACCUGCCACUUGUAAGACCUGGAGAACAGCUGAUACACUGUCUGAACAACAUAGCCUGUCAAAUUCUGCUUUAUAAGGAAGAUGUCAAAUAUAGGUGGAGCUUCUUGAAACCCAAGGCAACUGUUUCAGAAGAAAGGAGGAAGACAAUCCAGAACAGAAAGCAACUUUAUUUAGCAAUGCCUCUAAGCACAUUAGGUUAGGAGUCAGUACUUUUACAAGAAGUUUCCUCUUGGAAUCUCAAGUUGUAGAUUCUUACUUAACUACAGGCUCUAUUAUCUUUUACAUCACAACACAGUAAGUGCAUGUCAGUUCUUUAAAUCAAGUAGCAUUAACACUACCACAAGCAGUAAAUUUUUGUAACUUCAGUGUAAAGCAUUUAUUCAGUAAUACAGCUAAAGAAAUAUGCACUCCAGUGAAGUUUACAAAAAGGGAACAGCCUCUAUCAAAAAGUAGAAUUGAUGGCAAUAUAGACGAGAAGUCUCAGUAAGAGAGAUUAAGGCAAUGGAAUGUAGAGCACCACGUAAAAUUUCAAUCUGUUGGAUAGAGGGUUGCGAUGCGGUAUGAGACGUGGAUUAGGAACAAAUUAACAGAUUUCACUAUUUCUCUUUUGACAUUUCAUUUUUUUCAUUUUCUAGGGUUAUGCCAUUUAUUCAAUAUCUGCUGUUUAUAAUACACUUAAAAAA